CUGCCACUGCCAAGAGGAUGCCUGUACCCAAGAAGGCAGUCAGGGUUCUCCAGAGGGACAAAUCUGUAAGAUACAUGUCUAUAUGAAAAGGAGUUUAUUAGGGAAAAUCGGCUCACGUGAUCACAAGGUGAAGUCCCACAGUAGGCUGUCUGCAGGCUGGGGAAGAGAAGCCAGUAGUGGCUCAGUCCAAGACCAAAAGCCUCAAAACCAGGAAAGCUGACAGUGCAGCCUUCAGUCUGUGGCGGAAGGCCACCUGAGAGUCCCUGCAAGUCACUGGUACAGGUCUCUGAGUCCAAAGGCCAAAGAACCUGGAGUCUGAUGCCCAAGGGCAGGAGCUGAAGGAAGCAUGCAGCAUGGGGAAAAGAAGGAAGCCUGAAGACCCAACAAGCAAGGUGAUUCCACUUUUUUCCACCUGCUUUGUUCCGGCUGUGCUGGCAGCUGAUUGGAUGGUGCCUGCCACAUUGAAGGAGCUACCCAGGACAUGUUCUUAAGAGGAAUAGCUGCAACACAAGAGAUGAAGAGGAAGCACACAGCACACGUGAGACCUCCGCCUUGUCCUAUUCAUGGUCCACCAGCCCAAGCAAGUCACCUGGACAGGCCCAACUCAACGGAUGUCCUUUUGGGAGCUUGUUUGGAGGGUCUAGCAGGGGUGUGCAGCCACUCCUGUACCCGUGACUGAAGACUGGCCCUCCUCUACUGGGGAAGGUCAUCCUCUUCAACCGAGCACGAAGCUUUGGGAAGAAUGUACAUGGAGUUGUGGGGGAGGAAGGGGACACCUGCCUAGCCAACCAGACCAGCUGAAUCAACCCUGGGGUCAAUGGGGUGACUGAUGUCACAGCCAGAUCGCCCCCACAUCCUGGCUGUCCUUUUGGGUUUCCUCUUCUGCAGACCAAUGGAUUUGGAUCCUUUACCUUACCUCUUUUCUUUUCUUUUCUUUUCUUUUGAGACAGAGC
rnacentral:lncRNA from 13 species